rnacentral:rRNA from 1 species
UAAAAUUAAAAAUUUUGGCGGUAUUUUAGUCUUUUCAUUAGGAACCUGUUCUGUAAUUGAUAGUCCACGAUUAAUUGUACUUACUUUUAAAAAUUUAUAUAUCGUCGUAGUUUGAAUGUUUUAUUAGAAUUAUCAAUGUUCAUGAUUUAAUAUUAUAAAAAAAAUCAGAUCAAGGUGUAGUUUAUAAGUAAGAAGAAAUGGGUUACAUUUAAUUUAUUAAUAGAUAAUUUUAUGAAAAUGGAAUUUGAAAUUGGAUUUGAAAGUAAAUUUAAAUAUUUAUUUAAAUUGAUUUAAGCUCUAAAAUAUGUACAUAUUGCCCGUCACUUUCGUUUUAAAAUGAGAUAAGUCGUAACAAAGUAGAUUUACUGGAAAGUGGAUCUAGAAG